GAAGCAGCUUUCUCUGAGCACCCAGCCUGGGUUAGCUCCGCAGGCACCAUCCCAUCACUUCGCCUUGCUUUCUGUUCUGCUCUCUGCUCGCUUCCUGCGUGUGCGCUGCCCCCUUCACUAAAGCCCCACUUGGUGGCAGAGGCAGCGUCCGUCUGGCUCCCGCUGGAUCCCCAGAGCCGAAAACAGCGCUGCCCACAGCAGCUCUUUGGAGAAGGAAGAGCGCCCUCUGAAGCUGCUUCCUCACCUGUGAAAUGGGGACGCGGCUACUGUGCAGGCCCGGAGGAGUGUCCCAGGGCCCAGGGUUUGGAAGGAGCCUCAAGAAGCAUCCCAUCCAGCCUUCCAUCUACAGAAUCUUCUUGAACUCUCCCAGGCAUGCCACCAUUUAAGAAGAAAGAAGUCCAGGCUACCUUGCUGAAGAGCCUGCAUGGAGGAGAACUGAGGCACCGCAGCUGACAGCCAGCACCAAAUGCCAGCCAUGCCAAGAAGCCCUCUUGGAAGAGAUCCUCCAGCCCCAGUCAACACUUCAGAGGGUGUAGCCCAACCAAUACAACUGCCAGCCACAAGAGAUCCCCAGGCCAGAACCAGCUAAGCUGCUCCUGGAUUCCUGCCCCUCAGAAACUGUGAUAUAAUAUAGGUGUCCUUCGCUUUAUUGAGCUUUGCUUUAUUUUAGUUUGUCGAUACUCUAUUCUUUUUAUGAAUUGAAGGAUUGUGGCAACCCUGCAUCAAGCAAGUCUAUCAAUGCCAUUUUUUUCAACAGCAUUUGCUCACUUCAUGUCUGUGGCACAUUUUGGUAAUUCUUACAAGAUUCCAAAUCUUUUUGUUAUUAUUAUAUUUCUUAGCGUGGUCUGUGAUCAGUGAGUGUGACCUGCUGAAAGCUCAGAUGAUCAUUGGCAUUUUUUAACAAUAAAGUAUUUUUAAUAAGGA